UACGUAGGUGGCAAGCGUUAUCCGGAUUUAUUGGGCGUAAAGGGAACGCAGGCGGUCUUUUAAGUCUGAUGUGAAAGCCUUCGGCUUAACCGGAGUAGUGCAUUGGAAACUGGGAGACUUGAGUGCAGAAGAGGAGAGUGGAACUCCUUGUGUAGCGGUGAAAUGCGUAGAUAUAUGGAAGAACACCAGUGGCGAAAGCGGCUCUCUGGUCUGUAACUGACGCUGAGGUUCGAAAGCGUGGGUAGCAAACAGG
rnacentral:rRNA from 1 species